rnacentral:lncRNA from 1 species
AUGGGGAAGGGCUCAUUCCACAGCUCCACACCCCUGCAAGGGGAAGGGGGAGAGGAGGAGCCCACAAAAAGCACCGACAGUUCUGGAGGUUUCUCCUUUGGCCGAAGGACCCCGCCUGCGUCUGCUCAGGACCCCCAGCCCCUCACUGGGCACCAGCAGGGGGGUGGCACAGAAGGGUGGGAGCCAUGUGUGGCGGAGGUGCUGCGGGGGGACAAAGGGGAUGUGGCAGCUGCCAGAGGAGGGGACGUGCAGGGCAGUGACUGGGGGACAGCUGCGGCCGCCGUGCUCUCAGGGUCCAGUUUUCCCAGGAAUCCCUUAGGCGCUCUGUUGGGGAUUCCUGGAAAUACUGUUCUUGGGGCCAUGGCUCUGCAUCAGGAGAUGGCCCGACCCCGAGGGGAGCCACGGCAUCCGGAGGAGCCAGGGACAAGGUAUGGGGUCAUGCCUGGGGGCUGGGAGUGGGGGUGGGCACCCAACAGAUGUGGGGCAGCACACAGCCCAGCCCAGGAAAUCCCAGUCCCCAAAGACCGGGGGGAUGACGGAUGUCCCCUUGGGUCACAGCCCCCUGCGAGAGAACACCGCUGGUGGCCUUUCAUCCUGCUUCUGCCCUUCGGUGCCCUCCUGGAGGGGUGGGUCUCAGCAGGCCCACGCGCAUGUCACCUCGCCACCCUUGCGCCAAUAAAGGUCUCAGCUGCAAGUGACUCUCCUGGCCGUUUCUUCGGGGCUGGCGGCAGCGCGGGGCACACUGCGCUCUGGUGUCACGCUCUCGCGAAGGGAAGGCUGCAUCCUGCAGGCAUGGGAUGGAGGCAGAGGAAGGGGACAGAUAUGGCAGGCAGCAGCAGGCAGCAGCAGGCAGCCUGGCCAGGCAGGAACAGCAGGUGGCAGUGCUGCCUCGGCUGCAGCAGGCAGGGCUGUGCUGCCCUCCCUGCCUGCGCUGCAGGGGCUGGGGCUGCCCCCCCCUUCUACCCUCACCCCACGCAGCAGCAGAACCAUCCCCACGCCACCAGAGAGGCAGACGGUGUCCCCUUCCCCAUGCCCACAGGGGUCACAGCUCCCCCACAGUCCCCUCUUCCUGCCAGCCCUGAGAUGCCCGCGUCAGCAGUGGGAUGUUCAUCAGCACCCAAACCCAUCACCGGGGUGCCCCCCAUGUCCCCCUUAUCCUCUGCCCGCUGCUCGGCCUCUUCCCAAGGGCACCAUCCCACACAGUCCCCUACCGUGUCCCCAGCACUGCAGCCUGGUCCCUGCUGUGUCCCCUGCACCCACGGAGGUAGCACCCCCCUCUCCUGGGGGCACCCCAAAACCCUCACCCUGCUCCAGGAAGGACACGGCUGGGGAAACCCGUCCCCCAUGGGAAGGAAAAGUGGAAAUCACAAAAACCUUCCUGGAAAUUCCGAAUCGAAACCCAAACUGUUCCCUGCCCCCCCCCCGCCCCUUUCCCUGCAACAGCAUUUUUGGUUUGGGGUGGCUCCAAGUGCUCCGUUUCAAGCACUUCCAAGCAGCUUGUUUGGAUCCCAGCUGGGGGAGGGGGGUUAA